rnacentral:rRNA from 1 species
ACGUAGGUGGCAAGCGUUGUCCGGAUUUAUUGGGUUUAAAGGGUGCGUAGGUGGUCUAUUAAGUCAGUGCUGAAAUAUCCCGGCUUAACCGGGAGGGUGGCAUUGAUACUGAUGGACUUGAGUGGAGUUGAGGUAGGCGGAAUUGACGGUGUAGCGGUGAAAUGCUUAGAUAUCGUCAAGAACACCGAUAGCGAAGGCAGCUUACCAAGCUCUAACUGACACUGAUGCACGAAAGUGUGGGGAUCAAACAGGA